rnacentral:rRNA from 1 species
UACGUAGGGGCCGAGCGUUGUUCGGAUUCAUUGGGCGUAAAGGGUGCGUAGGCGGCGCGGUAAGUCGGGUGUGAAAUCUCGGAGCUUAACUCCGAAACUGCAUUCGAUACUGCCGUGCUUGAGGACUGGAGAGGAGACUGGAAUUUACGGUGUAGCGGUGAAAUGCGUAGAUAUCGUAAGGAAGACCAGUGGCGAAGGCGGGUCUCUGGACAGUUCCUGACGCUGAGGCACGAAGGUCAGGGGAGCAAACGGG